rnacentral:rRNA from 1 species
AUUGAACGCUGGCGGCAGGCCUAACACAUGCAAGUCGAACGGUAACAGGAAACAGCUUGCUGUUUCGCUGACGAGUGGCGGACGGGUGAGUAAUGUCUGGGAAACUGCCUGAUGGAGGGGGAUAACUACUGGAAACGGUAGCUAAUACCGCAUAACGUCGCAAGACCAAAGAGGGGGACCCUCGGGCCUCUUGCCAUCGGAUGCGCCCAGAUGGGAUUAGCUUGUUGGUGGGGUAACGGCUCACCAAGGCGACGAUCCCUAGCUGGUCUGAGAGGAUGACCAGCCACACUGGAACUGAGACACGGUCCAGACUCCUACGGGAGGCAGCAGUGGGGAAUAUUGCACAAAGGGCGCAAGCCUGAUGCAGCCAUGCCGCGUGUAUGAAGAAGGCCUUCGGGUUGUAAAGUACUUUCAGCGGGGAGGAAGGGAGUAAAGUUAAUACCUUUGCUCAUUGACGUUACCCGCAGAAGAAGCACCGGCUAACUCCGUG